CUAGCUACAGGCUUAACACAUGCAAGUCGAGGGGCAGCAUGGUCUUAGCUUGCUAAGACUGAUGGCGACCGGCGCACGGGUGAGUAACACGUAUCCAACCUGCCGUCUACUCUUGGACAGCCUUCUGAAAGGAAGAUUAAUACAAGAUGGCAUCAUGAGUCCGCAUGUUCACAUGAUUAAAGGUAUUCCGGUAGACGAUGGGGAUGCGUUCCAUUAGAUAGUAGGCGGGGUAACGGCCCACCUAGUCUUCGAUGGAUAGGGGUUCUGAGAGGAAGGUCCCCCACAUUGGAACUGAGACACCGCCCAAACUCCUACGGGAGGCAGCAGUGAGGAAUAUUGGUCAAUGGGCGAGAGCCUGAACCAGCCAAGUAGCGUGAAGGAUGACUGCCCUAUGGGUCGCAAACUUCUUUUAUAAAGGAAUAAAGUCGGGUAUGCAUACCCGUUUGCAUGUACUUUAUGAAUAAGGAUCGGCUAACUCCGUGCCAGCAGCCGCGGUAAUACGGAGGAUCCGAGCGUUAUCCGGAUUUAUUGGGUUUAAAGGGAGCGCAGAUGGAUGUUUAAGUCAGUUGUGAAAGUUUGCGGCUCAACCGUAAAAUUGCAGUUGAUACUGGAUAUCUUGAGUGCAGUUGAGGCAAGCGGAAUUCGUGGUGUAUCGGCGAAAUGCUCUACAUAUCACGAAGAACUCCGUUGGCGAAGGCAGCCUGCUAAGCGGCAACUGACAUGAGGGCUCGAAAGUGUGGGUUUCAAACAGGAUUAGAUUCCCUGGUAGUCCACACGGUAAACGAUGAAUACUCGCGGUUUGCGAUAUACAGCAAGCGGCCAAGCGAAAGCGUUAAGUAUUCCACCUGGGGAGUACGCCGGCAACGGUGAAACUCAAAGGAAUUGACGGGGGCCCACACAAGCGGAGGAACAUGUGGUUUAAUUCGAUGGUACGCGAGGAACCUUACCCGGGCUUAAAUUGCAGAUGAAUUACGGUGAAAGCCGUAAGCCGCAAGGCAUCUGUGAAGGUGCUGCAUGGUUGUCGUCAGCUCGUGCCGUGAGGUGUCGGCUUAAGUGCCAUAACGAGCGCAACCCUUGUUGUCAGUUACUAACAGGUUCCGCUGAGGACUCUGACAAGACUGCCAUCGUAAGAUGUGAGGAAGGUGGGGAUGACGUCAAAUCAGCACGGCCCUUACGUCCGGGGCUACACACGUGUUACAAUGGGGGGUACAGAGGGCCGCUACCACGCGAGUGGAUGCCAAUCCCAAAAACCUCUCUCAGUUCGGACUGGAGUCUGCAACCCGACUCCACGAAGCUGGAUUCGCUAGUAAUCGCG
rnacentral:rRNA from 1 species